GCGUGCAGAACAUACAGCCGACAAGUUAUUGCAUUCAUUAAUGGAAACCUUUGCUGAUAGUGUACCUAAGCAGAAAUCUGUGAGAUUUUUUGAUGAAGGAAAUUCAGUCUCUGCGGAGAUCUCUACCAAGAUGAAUAGGCUCUUUGGACGCCAGAAUUCAGUUCAUAAGAUCUUGGGUGGUGGACAAUCUGCUGAUGUGUUGCUAUGGAGAAACAAGAAGAUAUCUUUAAGCGUCUUGACUAUUGCUACAGCUAUUUGGGUGCUCUUUGAAUGGCUUAACUAUCACUUUCUAGCUCUUGUUUGCUUUGCAUUGGC
rnacentral:misc_RNA from 1 species